rnacentral:pre_miRNA from 1 species
CAUGCACCGGUGUGGUCCCUCGGCCGGGCCUGCACCCUCUUGUAAUCCAGGACCCCUCGGGGGAUUAAAGAACCAGUUAUGGCCCGAUCCCGCAGGCCAGGCCGAGGGACCCCACUGGUGCAUG